rnacentral:tRNA from 1 species
UGGGUUGUGGCUCAGCAGUAGAGUGCUCAGUUUGCAUGUGGGAGACCCUGGGUUCGAUCCUCAGCACCACAU